AGAACAAAGACUGAUGGCUUCCUCACGGCGUGCUGGAAGUGCAGGUGGCAUUAUCUGGGGUCCACGUGUGCCCUUCCCUCCAGCUGACCAGACCGAGGCAAAGUUCCAUCGAAGUGUGUGCAAGGUCCCAUCUCUUGUCACUCCCGCCAUCCUGCUGCAAUCCCAUGCCUGGGGCUGCCUCUCUGCCUCAGCUCCUGCCUGCCUGCCACACAUCUUCCGGCCUCCACUAGCCUGGCCAGCAACUUUGCAUCUCCUCUGGGUUGUACCCACUCGUGUAUCUGGCCCUCACACAACACCAGGAGCUCUUAGGACGGUGCUGGACAGAGGUGGAACCCAAUUAAAGAUUGUUAAGUCAAUGAACAAUUUAAGGAGGAAAUACUUAAUGCCAAGAACAGUGUCUAGGAGAGAGACCUCUAAUAAGGAAUUUUGGGGUAAAAUGCUGUGUGUUGUGCUCUAUAAAUUUCUCUUCAUUCCCCUAGCACCGUCUUUAGUAAAAUCUACAGUGCUCACUAAUACUUUGUGAAGUAGGUUUUCUCUUGGUGGAUAGAAAUCAGGAUAUAAUCCUGCUUCAAGGUGGCUAGGAGGUAGAGACCUAUAGAUACCCGACACCCGGGUAGCACUGGGAAAUCCAUUUUGCCUUAGGACAUCCUGCUGAUCCUGCUGUCUAUAUCUAGAUUCUAAUCCCUCAGUAGAAAUGCUUUUGGUCUCAUUUUCCCACUGAUCCUAGAAAGAGUUCAGGUAAUUAGCUAUACCUAGUCUAGGUCUUUUCAUAUAGUAGGUUUACAAUGAAUUCUUGGAAUCUUCUAGUCAUUAAACAGUGUGCCUAUUCUGAUAUCGUAGCGAUUCAAGUAUUGUUACCUUGAUCAUUCAUGUGUUAGGCCACCUAUGCCCACCUGUACAGAAUUGUUAUUUACAGCGUAUUGUCCUGGGAGCCACACAGCUUCCUGGGAGGAUGGGGAUGGAGAGUCUCCUGAAGCUAUUCAGCAUCAUCACCUGACCCAGGCAGGCCGCCUGGGUGAACUUCACAAUGACCUGCAGGGAGACGGUGCUAGCAGCUGGUCCCUCUGCCACUGGAGAACUCCUUCCGUAAACUCUGCUCUUUCCCUGAAGCAGCAUUGCAUUAUAUGAGGCUGGAAGAGAUGGUGAGAAAUCAUCCAGCUCGUGCUUCUUUGUCUGGGCAGAGCCGCACUCACCCCUGCAGAGAGCUGGCGCUUCUCUUUCUCUAUUAACUCUCCAACACUCCCGUUACAUCUUAUCUUUUUAUUUGUUUCCAAACCACAGUCCUCUCCAAAGCGAGGCUUCGCUGUGCUUGCUUGGAGAUACGUUAGAACACCACAGUUUCCCAGUGCACCUCUCACCCCUUUGCCAAAAUUAUGCAAAUUAAGAAUAACCCCAAUCUGGUUGGGGUUGCUUACGAUUGACAAGUAAUUGAGUUGUAAUAUGCUAAUCCGUAUGCUAAUAUUUGUCCCCUAAGAUAAAGAGACCUGAAAAUGCUAACGUGAGAGCCCUUCCCCGAAAGGGGAUUAUGAGCAGGAAGGUUGGGGGAGGAGGGGACAGAGGGGGAGGCGAAUAGGGAAGAGAAAUCCAGUGGGAAACCCAGGCCUUUGGAAACAGUGAGGGUUUUUGUUUGUUUGUUUCUUCACAUUUUCUUUUAUUUUCCAAACUUUCUAUGAUGUCUGCGUGUUACCAUUAUGACCUGAAAAAAUAAAGUGAAAUAUGGAAAGAAAAAAUGGUGAGGC
rnacentral:lncRNA from 1 species